UACGUAGGGUGCGAGCGUUGUCCGGAAUUAUUGGGCGUAAAGAGCUCGUAGGCGGUCUGUCGCGUCGAUCGUGAAAACUCGGGGCUUAACCCCGAGCCUGCUUCUGAUACGGGCAGACUAGAGGUAUGCAGGGGAGAACGGAAUUCCUGGUGUAGCGGUGAAAUGCGCAGAUAUCAGGAGGAACACCGAUGGCGAAGGCAGACCUCUGGGCCGUAACUGACGCUGAGGAGCGAAAGCGUGGGGAGCGAACAGG
rnacentral:rRNA from 1 species